rnacentral:lncRNA from 1 species
CCUCGCGCUCUCUCGCGCUCGCUCGCUCGCUCGCUCGCUCCAGUAUGUAAAUGUGUAAUAGAAGCCAAAUAUGGAGCAGUUGGCUGCCGCCGCCGCAGCUCAAGGAUCCGACUUCAUGGGGGGGUGGGGGCACCCUCUGGCAGGCGGCCCGGCGAGCCGCACAGAGCACGGCGAGCGCACGGCGCGGCGGCCGGCCCGCGCCCUUAACCCUUCGCUGCGCGCGGCCCCGGGAGGCGGACCCCGGGGAGGCCGGCGCCGGUUCCGGAGCCGCUGGGGAGCCGGGAGCGGGAGGGGAGACCCUACCCGAGGAGACGCUCCUUCCAGGUCGGAAAAUCUGCUUUGGGCAUUGA